UGAGAUUAAAGGCAUGCGCCACCACCACCUG
rnacentral:piRNA from 1 species